AAGGAUCAUUAUUGAAUAAGCUUGGUUGGGUUGUUGCUGGCUCUUCGGAGCAUGUGCACGCCUAACACCAACCUUUUACCACCUGUGCACCUUUUGUAGACCUGGAUAUCUUUCGAGGAAACUCGGUAUGAGGACUGCUGUGCGUCAAGCCAGCUUUUCUUACAUUUCCGGUCUAUGUUUUUAUAUACCCCUUCAGUAUGUCUAUGAAUGUUAUUAUUGGGCUUAACUGUCCUAUAAACUUAUACAACUUUCAACAACGGAUCUCUUGGCUCUC
rnacentral:misc_RNA from 1 species